CACAGUUAGGGUUUAAGCAUUCAGAAAAAACUGUAAAUAUUAAUAGCAGACUAGUCUCUGUGCUAUGAUUUAAAUAUUAAUAGCAGACUAGCUGUUGAGUUUGAUACAGAAUCAUUCAUGUUACUCUAAAGAACAAAUGAGGCUACCCUCUUUACAGUUAAAUUAGAUUCCUGAAACUAAUAAUGAAACACUAUUAAUGAAUGUGUUUCAUUUUUGUACCAAGUAAGCCUCACGUAUGUUAGUGUUGCCAGAAAAGAAAAUAUAAAAUGUCAUAAGAAUGGCCUUCACAUAUUUAUAUUGUAAAUGUUUAUUUUUUGUUUUCUUUUGUUCUGUUUUAUUUUUUCCUAUGUUUUUUGUUCAGAUCUUAUUGCACCUGUCACGGUUCUGGGUCAGUUUGACCCAGUAUUUUGAGUUGUUAUGUUUUGGUUUAUUUUUGCAUUAUGGAUUAUUUUCUGAUGUUCUGGUGCUUUGUUUAUUAUUAUUAUCAUUACAGAUCUGUUUCAGUUAUUCUUGGUGAGGGAUCAGUUCUUAGGUUUUGGGUUUUCAUGUGUAUUGCAGUUUCUGUUCAGUGUCUAAUCUGUUUCUCAGUGUCGUGUCUGCAUCUUUGUUUAGUGGUUUCUUGUUUCCUGUUUUAUUGUGAAAGUCUUUCUCUUAUGUUAGCAUGUGCAGCUUUGCUCCCCCUGUCUCGUUAGCCUUGAUCUCUCCCAGCUGUGUCUCCCUCCUGUUGCCCAUCCCCUGAUUACCACCCUGUGUAUUUUAGCCCUGUGUUUUCCCGUGUUCGGUGUAGCGUCGUACCAUCGGAUUAUGCCUGUGUGUUUCUGUUCUCCGUAUUCAGUGUUCACUUCAUGUUUUUGUUUUCUUGCUAGCAAUAAAGCUGAGGUUUUGAGUUGUAUUCAGUGUCCAAGUCUCGCAUUUGGAUCCUCCUCUCCAUCCGCCUGCACACAGAGCCCUGACAGCACCAAUGUUAUCUCCCACUGAGAGUUUGUAAAUUUGUGCAAAGACUUUAAAAAACCAAACAAAAAAAUUGCUAAACCAUCCUUAACUGGGCUUCCGUUGCCUGCCAGACAAUAAUAACGGUGACACCUUGAAGUCAAGCGCGGGAAUCUGAACAAAGGAAGACGAAGCAGAAGAGAAAUGGCAAUGACCAGCAAGAGAAGGAAAUAUGCGUGCAGUUUUGGGACAUGUUGCCAAAGGGAGACCUAAGGGUGUUAUUUAUGCUGAGACAAAGUUGGCUAUGCUGUUAGCUACAGGCAACAUCCCAUUCACAUUUGCAGAUGUUUUCUACAAAUCCGUUCCCGGAUUCAGAGAUUUCUCGCCAGUACGCAAAUGGCAGAACAAAGGCUCCUCCAACAGUGAAAGGUGAGUGUAUAUUGUUUUCUAAGAGUUAGGGUUGCCAUCCGUCCAUUAAUAUACAGAGUCCUCCCAUAUUUUACGAUUAAAUCGUUAAAUAUUCCAAUUGUUGUUCUAAUUGUUUUCUCUCCAAAAACUCAGGAGGGGGUGACGAGGUAAAUACCUUACAGUAUGCUAGGAGACUGACCACUAAUAAGUUAUGUUGUAAUUUGUUUAUUCCUAGUGACAGAAAAAUUGACAGUAGAAACUUUGUGGCAUUUAAUAGUGAUAAUGCCAGUGUCAUGAAGGGGAACAAUUCUGUUGUAGGCAGAAUCAAAGACAUGCAGCCAUCCCUAAUUGACAUGGGAUGCAUCUGUCAUCUGGGACAGCUGGCCACAGAAUGUGGCAUUAUGGCUCUAGGCCAGCCUGUUGAACACAUCCUCAGCAGUGUAUAUGCUCUUUGACAUCAGUGCCAAGCAUGCUGAAAUCUUCAAAGAGUUUGUGGAGUUCACAGACUCAGAGACUCUGAGGAUACUCCAAUACUGUGCAAUCAGGUGGCUCAGCUUGCUGACUUGCAUAAACCAGGUGCUCAGCCAGUGGGAUGCACUGCAGGCCAGUCAUGAGGAUGUGGAGAAGCCUGGCAAGGUGAAGAUGCUGGCAGGGCAUUUAACCAGCAAGAAGGCAAAGUUCUUCUUCCUCUUCCUCUCCCAGCCUUAUCGCUGACGUCCCAUUGAAGGACAUCAAGUUCAUGGAUGCCAGCCUACAGUUGCCAGACAAAGAAAACUUUCUUGGAGUAGCUGCACAAAGCCUCUUGGGGAACAACAUGGAUGAACUUUCCUCUUCUGUCCCAAUGAUGAUCCAGGCAGUGAGAGACUUCUUUGUAGCUGUGACCGCAAAGAUGAUGACUGCAUUCCCCCUCGACAACAUCAUCCUACUAAACCUGACCGUGUUGGACCCAGAGCCACGGCAUCAAUUUUCUCCAAACUCAGGUGCUGCCCAUACCUGUGCUGCUUCAAGGGGUGUGCUACUGGCUGUGAAGCAUUGGACCUUUAAAUACAACCAUGUGUAGAGGAGUGUUGUUGUUGUGGAUAUUGUUAUAGUUAGGGAAAAGUAUCCCUAGUUCUCUGUUCAUGUACAUACCUGUAUCAGUUCUUGUAUAGGAUGUUUCUGUUGAACCAUCACUACCAUCUGCUGCACAUGUACUGGACAGCUAUUUAAUUUAACUUAUUUUGUCCGAUAAAUAAACACUAUAAAAUUCAAGUAACUCACGGACCAGUAGAAGUCGGGGAGUGCUGAGUUAGGGUUAAGAGUAGAGUGCUUCAUGACAGUGUUAAAAUCAGAUGCUGGAGAAGUUCAUGGGGAAGUCUAUUAUACAAUGAUUUUAUUUCAGUUCAGUACAGUUUUAUUACAGUUUUUUCUGAAUGCUUAAACCCUAACUGU